rnacentral:rRNA from 1 species
UCUGCCUACGGGGCGCAGCAGUGAGGAAUAUUGGUCAAUGGCCGGAAGGCUGAACCAGCCAAGUCGCGUGAGGGAAUAAGGCCCUAUGGGUCGUAAACCUCUUUUGUCAGGGAGCAAAGGCGUCCACGUGUGGACGAGAGGAGAGUACCUGAAGAAAAAGCAUCGGCUAACUCCGUGCCAGCAACCGCGGUAAUACGUAGGGGGCAAGCGUUAUCCGGAUUUACUGGGUGUAAAGGGAGCGUAGACGGCAGCGCAAGUCUGGAGUGAAAUGCCGAGGCCCAACCCCGGAACUGCUCUGGAAACUG